rnacentral:SRP_RNA from 1 species
GCCGGGCAUGGUGGUGCAUGCCUGUAAUCCCAGCUACUCGGGAGGCUGAGGCAGGAGAAUGGCUUGAACCCAGGAGGUGGAGGUUGCAGUGAGCCAAGAUCGCGCCACUACACUCCAACCUGGGUGACAGAGUGAGAUCCUGUCUCAA